AUUGUUGUACUUUUUUUUUUUUUUUUUGAAACAGAUAUGGCAAUGGCUCUUCUAUAUUUACUACAUCUGGGGUUGCUGCACGGAAAUUUCAGACAGAGAUUGAGGCUGGGCAGGUUGGUAUCAACGUUCCUAUUCCAGUUCCCUUGCCCUUUUUCUCUUUUACCAGCAACAAGGCAUCCUUCGUAGGGGAUUUGAACUUCUAUGGCAAGGCAGGUGUCAACUUUUUCACCCAGAUCAAGACAGUAACACAGCAAUGGUGAAAUUUACCAGGCAGCAGUGUUUCUUAAAAGGCAUAGUUGUCUACAAAAUAUUGUACCAAUCUGGAACUCAUUACAAUAAAUCAAUGUCAAGGUCUCUUUCCCUUUAUACGUAGGCCAUGUACCACAUUUGGUGUUUUCUUUUUAAGAAGUGGGCAGUUGGUAUAGGGCCUAAACCCCAAUAGCUAAGCGAAUAUAAAAGCAACGACCUGUAUUAGUUAAGAUACACCUAUUAAUGUUGUUGCAUUGGAAGCUCAGAGUUAGCUUUGGCCAAGAGAAUAUGUGGUCAUACUCGAGCAAAAAAUGACUUAAACUAAAGAAUUUACCAACGGAAACAGAGAAAAAGGAAUUAUUACUGCCCCUAGUCUUUGGUUUAGCUCUGUUCAGUGUAGAGUAGACUGGAAGUUGUUCUAACAUAACAUCCAAGUUCUGCUGGAAGAAUCAGUUUGCUUUGGAAUUCAAUUGUACAUCCUAGUAAAUUGGACUAUGGGUAUAGGGCAACAAAUUCUAGGUCGAAAGUGGAAGACCCCAUGCCGGAGAUGUGAGAAAACGAGAUCUCUUCAAACAAGAGAGUUGAUGUCAAGUAUGAUCAUCUUCAGAUGCCAAGGAAUGCUGCAUCCACUUUCCAUUUUAGCAUAAUUUUCAAAUAUCCUCCAUCUUGUGCGCAGAGGAAACCUUCU